rnacentral:tRNA from 1 species
GGCAGUGUAGUAUAAUGGGGUAAGGCGUUGGUCUUGUAACCUGAAGGUCACAGGUUCGAAUUCCCCGGUACGACACUGCCG